AACGCACAUUGCGCCCAUUAGUAUUCUAGUGGGCAUGCCUGUCCGAGCGUCAUUUCAACCCUCAGAUACCUAUAUGUCUGGCGUUGGGGCGUUCUGUAGCAUUUUGCUAUAGGCCUUAAAAAUUAGUGGCGGGCCCCCUGAAGAUCCUGAACGCAGUAAUUUCUUUCUCGUUCCCGGCGUUUUAGGGGCUGCCCAGCUGUCAAAUUUCUAAAUUUCAAAAGUCUGACCUCGGAUCAGGUAGGAUUACCCGCUGAACUUAA
rnacentral:misc_RNA from 1 species